GACGAACGCUGGCGGCGUGCUUAACACAUGCAAGUCGAACGGAAAGGCCUGCUUUCCCUUGUGGAUUGCGGGUACUCGAGUGGCGAACGGGUGAGUAACACGUGAGUGAUCUGCCCCCAACUUGGGUAUAAGCCUGGGAAACUGGGUCUAAUUCCCGAUAGGACUGCAGGGUGGUGCCUGUGGUGGAAAACGAUUUUCUAGUGGUUGGGGAUGAGCGCGCGGCCUAUCAGCUUGUUGGUGGGGUAAUGGCCUACCAAGGCGGCGACGGGUAGCCGGCCUGAGAGGGGGGACGGCCACAUUGGGACUGGGACACGGCCCAGACUCCUACGGGAGGCAGCAGUUGGGGAUAUUGCACAAGGGGCGGAAGCCUGAUGCGGCGACGCCGCGUGGGGGAUGACGGCCUUCGGGUUGUAAACUCCUUUCGACCGCGAGGAAGCCACCUGGUUGGAAGGGUGGUGACGUUAGUGGUAGAAGAAGCACCGGCUAACUACGUG
rnacentral:rRNA from 1 species